rnacentral:rRNA from 1 species
UACGGGGGGGGGCAAGCGUUGUUCGGAAUUACUGGGCGUAAAGGCUCGUAGGUGGCCAACUAAGUCAGACGUGAAAUCCCUCGGCUUAACCGGGGAACUGCGUCUGAUACUGGGAUGGCUUGAGUUUGGGAGAGGGACGCGGAAUUCCAGGUGUAGCGGUGAAAUGCGUAGAUAUCUGGAGGAACACCGGUGGCGAAGGCG